AGAGUUUGAUCCUGGCUCAGAUUGAACGCUGGCGGCAUGCCUUACACAUGCAAGUCGAACGGCAGCACGAGAGCUUGCUCUUGGUGGCGAGUGGCGAACGGGUGAGUAAUAUAUCGGAACGUACCCUAGAGUGGGGGAUAACGUAGCGAAAGUUACGCUAAUACCGCAUACGAUCUACGGAUGAAAGUGGGGGAUCGCAAGACCUCAUGCUCAUGGAGCGGCCGAUAUCUGAUUAGCUAGUUGGUGGGGUAAAAGCUCACCAAGGCGACGAUCAGUAGCUGGUCUGAGAGGACGACCAGCCACACUGGAACUGAGACACGGUCCAGACUCCUACGGGAGGCAGCAGUGGGGAAUUUUGGACAAUGGGCGCAAGCCUGAUCCAGCAAUGCCGCGUGAGUGAAGAAGGCCUUCGGGUUGUAAAGCUCUUUUGUCAGGGAAGAAACGGUGGACUCUAAUACAGAUCACUAAUGACGGUACCUGAAGAAUAAGCACCGGCUAACUACGUGCCAGCAGCCGCGGUAAUACGUAGGGUGCAAGCGUUAAUCGGAAUUACUGGACGUAAAGCGUGCGCAGGCGGUUGUGCAAGACAGAUGUGAAAUCCCCGGGCUCAACCUGGGAAUUGCAUUUGUGACUGCACGGCUAGAGUGUGUCAGAGGGGGGUAGAAUUCCACGUGUAGCAGUGAAAUGCGUAGAGAUGUGGAGGAAUACCGAUGGCGAAGGCAGCCCCCUGGGAUAACACUGACGCUCAUGCACGAAAGCGUGGGGAGCAAACAGGAUUAGAUACCCUGGUAGUCCACGCCCUAAACGAUGUCUACUAGUUGUCGGGUCUUAAUUGACUUGGUAACGCAGCUAACGCGUGAAGUAGACCGCCUGGGGAGUACGGUCGCAAGAUUAAAACUCAAAGGAAUUGACGGGGACCCGCACAAGCGGUGGAUGAUGUGGAUUAAUUCGAUGCAACGCGAAAAACCUUACCUACCCUUGACAUGUCUGGAAUCCUUGAGAGAUCAGGGAGUGCUCGAAAGAGAAUCAGAACACAGGUGCUGCAUGGCUGUCGUCAGCUCGUGUCGUGAGAUGUUGGGUUAAGUCCCGCAACGAGCGCAACCCUUGUCAUUAGUUGCUACGUAAGGGCACUCUAAUGAGACUGCCGGUGACAAACCGGAGGAAGGUGGGGAUGACGUCAAGUCCUCAUGGCCCUUAUGGGUAGGGCUUCACACGUCAUACAAUGGUACAUACAGAGGGCCGCCAACCCGCGAGGGGGAGCUAAUCCCAGAAAGUGUAUCGUAGUCCGGAUUGUAGUCUGCAACUCGACUACAUGAAGUUGGAAUCGCUAGUAAUCGCGGAUCAGCAUGUCGCGGUGAAUACGUUCCCGGGUCUUGUACACACCGCCCGUCACACCAUGGGAGCGGGUUUCACCAGAAGUGGGUAGCCUAACCGCAAGGAGGGCGCUCACCACGGUGGGAUUCGUGACUGGGGUGAAGUCGUAACAAGGUA
rnacentral:rRNA from 1 species